UGGGGCAUUUGCACUAAUUCCCUCUGUAUAUAUUAUAUAUACAACAGUCUUGCUAUUCCAAUUGUACGACUAGUAUUACAGUUUUACAGUGUUAAGUAGCUCAAAUAGGAAUUCGAUAAAAUAAGUCUCAAUAAUUAAGUAAACAUGACCUUAGAUAGAAUAAAUGUAAAUAAGUACAAUGAAAGAAAAAUGAUACAUAGUUAUAUUUAUGAUCUUUGUUAGUGAAUUACUAC
rnacentral:lncRNA from 1 species